rnacentral:rRNA from 1 species
AUACGAGGAAAGAACCAACAGGGAUUGCCUCAGUAACGGCGAGUGAAGCGGCAACAGCUCAAAUUUGAAAUCUGGCCCCUUCGGGGUCCGAGUUGUAAUUUGCAGAGGGUGCUUUUGGUGUUGGCCGUGGUCUAAGUUCCUUGGAACAGGACGUCACAGAGGGUGAGAAUCCCGUACGUGGCCGCCGGCCCUCGCCUUGUAAAGCCCCUUCGACGAGUCGAGUUGUUUGGGAAUGCAGCUCUAAAUGGGAGGUAAAUUUCUUCUAAAGCUAAAUACCCGCCAGAGACCGAUAGCGCACAAGUAGAGUGAUCGAAAGAUGAAAAGCACUUUGGAAAGAGAGUGAAAAAGCACGUGAAAUUGUUGAAAGGGAAGCGCUUGCGGCCAGACGUGCCCGCGGUUGUUCAUCUGGGCUCUCGCCCGGUGCACUCCUCCGCGGGCAGGCCAGCAUCAGUUUGGGCGGUCGGACAAAGGUCUCUAUCACGUACCACCCCUCGGGGUGGCCUUAUAGGGGAGACGCAACACGGCCAGCCUGGACUGAGGUUCCGCGCAUCUGCUAGGAUGCUGGCGUAAUGGCAGCAAGCGGCCCGUCUUGAAACACGGACCAAGGAGUCUAACAUCUAUGCGAGUGUUUGGGUGUCAAGCCCGAGCGCGUAAUGAAAGUGAACGGAGGUGGGAACCCCUCGGGGCGCACCAUCGACCGAUCCUGAUGUCUUCGGAUGGAUUUGAGUAAGAGCAUAGCUGUUGGGACCCGAAAGAUGGUGAACUAUGCCUGAAUAGGGUGAAGCCAGAGGAAACUCUGGUGGAGGCUCGCAGCGGUUCUGACGUGCAAAUCGAUCGUCAAAUUUGGGCAUA